UAGGGUUUUACUCAUUAAAGUAAUUCCACGAUACAUCAAUUAGGAAAGCAAAGUAGCCUUUUAGGAAGCAAAUAACGUCCAUGUCCCAAUUCCAUAAUGUUUCUCCUCACGUCGGUGUGAGAGGCACGUCACACGUCGGAGCCCUGACUCCGCUCGAUGAGGAGGACUGACGUUCGUCCUGCAACCCCGCCCGCCUCUGGAAGCGGUGGCCUUACUGCUAACCGACGCCGAAUGACGCAGGUCGCGACGCUGAGCUCACAGCGGAGACGCCGAAUGACGCAGGUCGCGACGCUGAGCUCGUCUACUGUCUUCCCGGUCCGACGGCUCCAAGAAGGGAGACCCUGAGCUCCUCCGUGGCACCAGCCGUACUCACCACUGCAACCAAGAAGGGGUCCAAGAGCCCAGCACAACUGUUCGCUGAGGGGACACGCGGGUUUCUCCGGUCCCCAGACGUCCCGUUUUGAAAGGAAGCGCACCAGGGGCACCCGCUGGUGCUUGGAGGAGCUGGGACCCCCCUCGGGCACGCACGUGGAAGGAUGGGCAAAUCCUGAGACUCCUGGAGACGAACCAGAAAUGGUGCUGCCUCGGAGAAGUGGGGAGAAUGUCAUGUCUGGUCGUGCAGGGCCACGCGAGACCCACAGAGACCUGACCAACCUUGAACCUGCUUUCACUCGGAGGCUCUUCGGGACGGAGGGGGAAUGUCUACACUAGUGCUCUAUCAAAUGUGUAUAUAAUUUAACCUGAGUCAUAAAACCAGUGUCAUCUUUGGAAACCCUGAAGAAUAAAUCAUUACU